rnacentral:rRNA from 1 species
GACGAACGCUGGCGGCGUGCUUAACACAUGCAAGUCGAACGGUGAAGGGGUCUGCUUUUGUGGGCCCUGGAUGAGUGGCGAACGGGUGAGUAACACGUGAGUAACCUGCCCCCUUCUUCUGGAUAACCGCAUGAAAGUGUGGCUAAUACGGGAUAUUCUGGGUCUGUCGCAUGAUGGGUCUGGGAAAGAUUGCGCCUUUGGGUGUUUUUGGUGGGGGAUGGGCUCGCGGCCUAUCAGCUUGUUGGUGGGGUGAUGGCCUACCAAGGCGGUGACGGGUAGCGGGGCUGGGGGGGGGGGCGGGCCACAGGGGAGCGGGGCCACGGCCGGGUCUCGUAGGGGGGGCGGCGGUGGGGAAUAUGGCAGAGUGGGCGCGGGCUGGAUGCAGCGCCCCCGGGUGAGGGGGGGGGGCUUUGGGGUUGUAAACCUCUUGCGCAGGGGAAGAGGGCCUGCUCUUUGGGGGGGGGUUGAGGUUAGCGGAAGAAAAGGCGCCGGCUAACUACGUC